rnacentral:tRNA from 1 species
UGGCGGAUGGUGUAAUGGUAGCACAGCAGAUUCUGGAUCUGCUUGUCUAGGUUCGAAUCCUAGUCCGCCAGCCA